rnacentral:lncRNA from 1 species
UCUGCAUUACAUCCUGGAAGAGCCCUCCUACCAGCAUUUCACCACCUGAUAGUCAAAGAGGUCUUAUUUACCUUCUGCUUGGGAGCAACGACACAUUGCCUCUGCUUUAUUCCUGUGCCCUUCUCUCUGUGGGCAUGUUUAAUAAAGUAGGAGGUUGAUGAGACCUCUCCUAGAAGGAUUUGCUGAAUGCAUAAUGGAAAGACCCUUGUAUUACAUGGGAAUAUGUGAUUUUAGAGAUGGGAGAUGAUAAAAUUUCAGCAAUUGCCAUAAGAAGAUCUGGGGACCUCUUGGG